CCUCAGGGUAUUUUGCUAGCAGCUGCUGACCCAGACAGCACACACUGUAGCUAUUAUCUAAUCAUCUAGUAAUUAGCUUGACAUUUAUAAAGGGGCCUCCAGGGCCUUGGGAUGACACUGCCUUUUUCAGAUGCAAGGAUACUGUGAUUUUGCACUUGUGCAGGGCAAGAGGGGAGCAGAAGGGAAAAGUGAUCGAGGUUUUGCCUGCCGUCAACAGCCCUGAGCAGAGGCAGAUAGACAGCUGGGAAGAAGCCCCUGGAACAGAUGACCAGGGAAAAGCAUGUGGUUUCAGCCAGGACAUGGAGGAGACAGGCCGGCAUCCAUUUCUUAUCUGGACAAGAGCAGCAGACACCUAUGCGGCACUGCAGACAAAGAGGCAACAGGUGUGCUGAGCGUUCAGCCCUCUGGGCUGGUGGAGGCUGGAGCCUCUAGACCAGCCUCAAGAAGUCUCACCUGCUGAUCUCAGUGUGAAUUCAAAUGUCAUCAUUUGUUACAUUGCUUCCAUGUGGGAAGUGUAGGGAAGCACCCAUCUCUCGAUUGUACUCUUCUGUCCACAUGGCCCCAUACCCAGGCAAGGUGGCCAGGUUUAUCUCCACGGAGUCCAACUCGGUGCAGCUUGCCUUCAGAAUGGCCAUUAGGAUUCUACAAGAUGGGAAAGCUGCUGAAACCUACAAGGACAGGCAAGGAGAGCCAGUACAGGGGUCCUUCUUACAGCUUGGGUGCCGUGGAUUGAGGAGAUGUGCAAAGGAGAGCAGCCCCCGAGGGCCCCUGGGAAGCUCACUCCUCCUGCUCCUUCAUCUGGAAUGGUUGUUCUCACACUCCACAGUGUGCAAGCACCAACUGCUGCAAUUGUCAGCAAUGCAGAUUCCAGGGCCUUCUCCUGCCCCACCCACGUUUUAAGUCAAUGUGUUUGCAACCAGACCCAGCAGUCUGCAUUUUCAGGGAGCAUGCUGACUGUGGACAAAGAUCUUCCUUUGAGAAACAGUGCCCUGAUGAUCUCAGCUAACAGUAGAGUUCACCCAGUCUUCCUCAGAAGAUUGAACAAUGGCAUAUGGGCAGGAAUUUGCAGUAAAAAGCAGUGUCUCAGCCUAAAAUCUCGAAUCAAACACACCGCUUUGAAAAGACAGAAGAAAAAGGAAUCCUUAAAAAUAUGGAAAGUGGUUGAAAGGAAGACCAUCUGGGCAAACCAAAGUUACUCAUCCCCAAGAACAUUCUCGGAGAAAGGCAAAUUGCAUGGAAAAUACAAAAUGUAAUCCUAAAGGAAGCUUUGAAAUUCUGGAAAGAAUUUAUAACCUGUAACCUACGCAGCCCACUGGGCAGAGUACCACAGCAAACUGCUCUCUAAAGUGUGACGAGAUGGAAGGUAUAGCGAAGGCAGGGAGUGUGUGUGUGGCUGGUGAGUGCAACCUGUGUCCUUACUCACUGAGGUGACUCUGCUGGCUGUUGUGGCUUUUUCUGAUCCCCAGGUGGAGAAGGGGUCUGGAUCACGGGAAUGCCAUGAACUUAUCAGGCAAGUGACACGAUAUUUGAAAUCCAGGCUGACUGGCAAAUGUGAAUCCCCAUCCACUGUGAUUCUGUGGGGAUGCUGGGCUAUUCCAGCUGCAGGUAUUUACCAUCAGUGUGGGGUGUUGCUGCUGCACGCUUCUCUGCCUCCUUUUGCAUACCAUGUGGAUCACUCCGUGACAAUUCAGAACUCCCGCUUCCCUUGUGGCUCAGCUGGUAAAGAAUCCGCCUGCAAUGUGGGAGACCUGGGUUCGAUCCCUGGGUUGGGAAGAUCCCCUAGAGGAGGGAAAGGCUACCCACUCCAGUAUUCUGGCCUGGAGAAUUCCAUGGACUGUAUAGUCCAUGGGGUCACAAAGAGUCAGACAUGACUGAGCGACUUUCAGAACUCCACCCAGAGCAUGGAGUAGAUAGGGGCUCUGAUCUGUUCUGUGUUAACAGGUGUUAACAGGCAUAGCUAGAGACCAGAGAGCAACUGCAACCUGGACAAAAACUGGGGUCCUUCCUCUUUGCUGGAGAAAGACUAGGAGGGGGUAUUCUGAAAGAGGCAGCACCAUCUGGGUUAAUGGCACCCGACUUGGGCUGGCUCAACACCAGUGGGACGGGCGCCGGCUGACAGUUUCCCCAGAGGACGUGUGGGGUUUCUCAGCUUGCGUCUCCACGAGAUCUCACUGAACUGGCUCCACAACCAUGAUCCAGGAGAAGGUUGAGAAUCAGCAGGAGGAAGAGGUGAGAGAAGAAACCUGUUUUCAGCUCUGGUGGAGAUGCUACUUUUAACUGAGAUAUCUGUGGAGGAAAGAAACACAGAAGGCUCAAUGGGGUCCUUUUAGAGCUUUAGUGAACACUCACCCAAAGUGGAAAAAUGGCCAAGUGUUAAACAUCGAGCUGAAGCCAAAUAUUGCUAUUAUAGAUACCCUUCAGGAUAAUCAGAAAUAUAAGACUUUAAGUACGGAAUUUGUGCUACACUUUUGUUAGUAAAAUGUUUAAUGUUCAGAUUUCUAGUUGGACCGUAUAGAGGAGGGACAGCAAUGUCUUAGCACUGUCCACUGUGGAAUGGCUCCAGCCACCUCACUGUUACUCACACAGAUGGUAAGCACUCACUGUCACACAUUCUUCUGCCAGUACAAGCUGCUCAUAAUGGUGAUGUCACCGAGCUAUCUUGAACUGUAACUGACUUUAGACAACUCCUCUUGGACUCCUGUAAGUCUUUCAGGACUUCUUGAAAGACUCAUGUCACGUGUUAAAUAACUAAAAAUUAAAUGUGGCUCAUAUGGUUUAAUUUGUUUAUUUUUAUGAGUGCUUAUUAUACCAAAGAAUUCUAUCAGGAUUAGAUUUAUAAUCUAGUCUGUCUUGUUCUGCCCUGUGGUAUCCAGGUAAUUGUUACUAACAGCACUACAGGUGGCCACAAUCAGAUCCAGCAUUCAAGGUACCUCCCCCAUGUGAAGCCUCAGGGUGGGGCCUUGGGUAAAGCCCUGGGCUCAGAGUUCAGUGAGUUCUUGGUGCACAGAGCUCCAAGAACCACUCCAGCACGCUGCCUGCCACGGAGCAGGGUUUCAGCAAGUAUUUGCUGGAUGAGUGAGAGGCUAAGUGGAUGAAUAAAGAUCUAAGUCAGAGUCAAGCUAGGAAUAGUCUGCACCUCAAGGCUCUACCAGCACUAGGAAAGGGUCUACCUAGAGACUGCAGAAGAGAUGAGCCUACAUGAAGAUAUUCAAGGAGACCCAGGGAAGGUGUCUAAGAGGCUGUGAAAGCAUGAAGUCACACGGGCCAUGGCUGUCAGCAGAGGAGCUUCUAGAGGCCACCGGCAUUCCUGGACUUGUGGCCUCUUCCAUCUCCAAAGCCAAUAAGGACUGAUCCAGUAUUUCUCACACCUCGUCACUCUGACCUUCUCUCCUGCUCCUCUUUCACUUUUAAAAAUAUAUAUGUAUGUUUGACUGCACUGGGUCUUAGUUGUGAAACGUGGGCUCUUUGUUGCUGCAUGUAGACUCUCUAAUUGUGGCAUGCAGGAUCUAGUUCCCUGACCAGGAAUUGAACCUGCGGCCCCC
ensembl:lncRNA